rnacentral:rRNA from 1 species
UACAUGUGGGCAAGCGUUGUUCGGAAUUACUGGGCAUAAAGGGUGCGUAGGUGGCUUGUUAAGUCAGGGGUGAAAGUUUUCGGCCCAACCGGAAAAUGGCCUUUGAUACUGGCGAGCUCGAGUGCGUGAGGGGUAACCGGAACGAGCAGUGUAGCGGUGAAAUGCGUAGAUAUUGCUCGGAAGGCCAACGGCGAAGGCAGGUUACUGGUACGCAACUGACACUGAGGCACGAAAGCGUGGGGAGCAAACAGGG